rnacentral:rRNA from 1 species
CCAAUAGCGUAUAUUAAAGUUGUUGCCGUUAAAAAGCUCGUAGUUGAAUUUCGGGAUCAAUUUAUUGGUCGUGCUAUUGUACGUACUGGUAUUAUUGAUUCCUACCUUCUGACGAACCAUGAUGUCAUUAAUUUGGUGUCUUGGGGAAUCAGGACUGUUACUUUGAAAAAAUUAGAGUGUUUAAAGCAGGCUCACGCUUGAAUACAUUAGCAUGGAAUAACGAAAUAGGACGUUUGAUUCUAUUUUGUUGGUUUCUAGGAUCGACGUAAUGAUUAAUAGGGAUAGUUGGGGGCAUUAGUAUUCAAUUGUCAGAGGUGAAAUUCUUGGAUUUAUUGAAGACUAACUACUGCGAAAGCAUUUGCCAAGGAUGUUUUCAUUAAUCAAGAACGAAAGUUAGGGGAUCGAAGACGAUCAGAUACCGUCGUAGUCUUAACCAUAAACUAUGCCGACUAGGGAUCGGAUGAUGUUAAUUUUUUAAUGACUCAUUCGGCGCCUUACG